AAAAAAAAAAAAAAAGAAAAUCUGCAAAUCUGUUUCAAAUAUCAAAAUAAGGGCAUGUUUUCCUCUGGAAUUAAAGACUGCUUGAUAAUGCUGCUGAUAAAAAGCAGCAGUUCAUGAAAAACACUGCAGGAAAAGAUUGAUAAGUAUUUGUCAACGGGUUAGAAAUUUUCAGUCUUAUUUUCGUUUCUUCCCUCAGUAAAUGAAAAAUUACUGCUUGCACUUCAUAGAAAUUAACUGGAAAUUUCUGAUAUUCUUAAAUUGACUGGAAAUAUCUCAAUAAUCUUUCACUGGAAAACUCUUGUUUCUCUGGUGGGGAAUUCAUCAACCAUGUUCAGAUUUAAAAGACCUCUUUCUUGUAUCCUAAUACUUGAAAACUUCUCGUAACAUGUUCAGAACUUCAUUUAUGGGCAGUUGCACAUGACAUAUUUUCAUAAUGCCCCGUCAUCUUUUCUCCAAAAAUUGCACUGCAGCAGAAGCCUGAAGCAAUGGACUCUUUCAGCCUUCCAUUUUCAGUAAUAUCACAGGUUGAGAACAAAUUUAUCAGUUAUGACAGAUUCCCUUUCUUCAAUUUCUCUAUCUCUUUAUUUAAGAAAACUGCCGCUGAUCCGAGCCUAUCCAAAAAAAUCUCAGUUAAUGAUAAAAUAUAAAAAGAUCAAAUACUGCAAUGGCAAAAAGUGUUUAAAGUAUGUUUCUCGUCAUAAUUAUAUCACAUGGUAUGCAACAGUAAUCUUCUGAAUUACAAUACUGGCCAGCUUAGAAUGUGUUAUGGUCAAAUAUUAUACAUCUGUAUUGUUUGAUAUUCAAGCAUCAAAAAGUAUUUCCGAUCAUUAGUACUCAUCUUCAUCUCUUGAUCCAUUGAAUCUUCUGAUCACAGCAGCGACAGCACCAAGAAACAAAAAGAGUGCCAAGGUUUCGAAUCCACCUCCAACAAUGGCAACACUAGGACCUGGUGCAAAGAACGAAAAUGGCGACCAGCCCCAGCCACCAUAGAAUGGCACACCAAAACCAUACCCAUAUCCACCAACUAAAGGUGGGGCAAGUGGUGGGUUGACAUAUAUGUUGGUCCUACAAAAAAAGGGACCAAAUUAGAGCAACACAAUACAUGUCAUCUUACACGGUAAAGUGCUUAAUACAGAAUGGUAAUCCAAACUAAAAUAACAUGAAGAGGAAACCGUAGAAGAGUGCUGCCUCAUUACGUUGAUACAAACAAUAUUAAAACAAGGAAUUGGUUGAAUUCUCUUAAUGCUUUUCCUAGAAAACCAAAACCUCAAAUUUCAAUUCCAUUAAGCAUGAAGAAGAGCAAAAAUUUUGCAGGAUAUCCUAGUUUUACUGCAUCAGUUCAAAUAAGAAACACUAUAUCUAUACUCUGAAGUUUUUCUUUUGCUGAUAAUCUUACUUGGGCAAAGCUGUGAUGAGUAACCAACCAAUGCCCUUGGGAUUUGUACUAACAAGGUUCGACAUGGAUCCAUGAUAUUUUUAAUUACUAUCAAGUUUAUGAUUUAUCUGUUAUUGAGUUUUUCACACAGCAUGAUAGUAAAAUAUAGCAAUAUAUACUUGCAACACAGAUACAUGCCAUAUCUUAUAUGGAAAAGUGCUUAAUAUAAAUGAAAUUUGAUGAUUUAUCCUUAGAUAAGAAACUCCCUUGAAUUUUCCCAAGUUUUUCACAAUAGGGUCCUGGCCCCAUAAUUCCAGCACAGUUGAGCGUGAAACAUUUCUUUGAGUUACCAUGCGCAGAGCUUUACUCUUGCAUUCAUAUUGUGCUUAUCAACACUAAAUAAAAAAGAAACCGGAACUCAUAUGCCAAAGUUGAAUACGGACAAUAAAUUCAAGUGUACUUCCACUCGAGGACCAAAGGCACCUAGCUAGUAAAAACAAAGUAAAGAUUCUAUAAGCAAUACUGCAAUAAUCUUCUGUAUACAGUGAUGUACAAAUCUAAAAUCUCAUUCAAGACCAUCAACAAAGGUAAGCGUUGGAGUUUAUACAUUUGAGUUUAAAGUGAUGUGUUCACAAUUUUGGUAUACUACUACAACUACAAUGAGAUCAUAAUUUUGUUGCCAUAUUUGGUCAGCACAAACAAAUACAGGUUGCAAGGAAACCCAACUCCACCUUUAUGUCGUUUUUAUCAUUGUAUUUGCUGCAGCAAACCAGAAAUUUUCCUAUGCAAAGGAUUUUUUGCCCCUUCCCGUAUUCUCUCCUUGUAGGAUCUAAUACAUUACUACUGACAUCAAAAGUUACAUCUGUUUCUAAAUUUCUAAAUUUAAUAUUUUCUUUAAUAGAUUCGGAAGCUUUCCCACAAGGUAAAUCCUUUCUUUAAUCUGAGAAAUAAUCACACUUAAGCAACUCUAACUACACAUAAAGAACACAAGCUACACAACUAGAACUCAACAGCAAAAAAUAACUCUGCGUCCAAUCAAUAACCGUCACCAAUCAAGACUUCAAAAUGCAUGCAACUGCAUCAAUGGCUAGAAAUGGACAAAGGGUAUCAAUCCAAUCAAAUAUGCAAUAGUGAGCACCCUAAACAUAAGGCUUGAAGAAAAUAAUCAGUAAAAUGAUGCAAUUAAAAACCUGUCUAUAUACCUUGAGUUACUAUUGAUUCUAGGUGAUGACCUAGGAGCAGAUGAUCUGAAAGCCUGACCACCAACUCUACCACCAGAUUUAGCAGCUGAUGCAACACCGACAGACCCAAGUGCAAGCACCCCAGCUGCCAGUGUCACAAUUGCUAGCUUUGCCAAUUCGUUCUCACUCUUUGUCCUGCAAGAAUCAUUAUGAUCAUCUUUAGACAGCCUGCAUGAGAUGGUGGAGAUAGCCAAUCUCGUUUUGGGCUUUUGGAUUAGUGGGGUGAGGGCGUUGGUGAGGAAGCUUUGCUGGGAUGAUGCUAUGGACAUGUUAGAAUUCUUUCCUUAGAGUAAGCUAAAUUAUGUUGCUUUCUGUCUAUGGUUUAUUUGCAGUGCAGAGCAGAGAGUAACAUAAUUUA
rnacentral:misc_RNA from 1 species